UACGAAGGGGGCUAGCGUUGCUCGGAAUCACUGGGCGUAAAGCGCACGUAGGCGGCUUUCUAAGUCAGGGGUGAAAUCCUGGAGCUCAACUCCAGAACUGCCUUUGAUACUGGAAAGCUUGAGUUCGGGAGAGGUGAGUGGAACUGCGAGUGUAGAGGUGAAAUUCGUAGAUAUUCGCAAGAACACCAGUGGCGAAGGCGGCUCACUGGCCCGAUACUGACGCUGAGGCACGAAAGCGUGGGGAGCAAACAGG
rnacentral:rRNA from 1 species